rnacentral:rRNA from 1 species
GAUGAACGCUGGCGGCGUGCCUAAUACAUGCAAGUCGAGCGAACGGACGAGAAGCUUGCUUCACUGAUGUUAGCGGCGGACGGGUGAGUAACACGUGGAUAACCUACCUAUAAGACUGGGAUAACUUCGGGAAACCGGAGCUCAUACCGGAUAAUAUUUUGAACCGGAUGGUUGAAAAGUGAAAGCCGGUUUUGCUGUCACUUAUAGCUGGAUCCGCGCUGCAUUAGCUAGUUGGUAAGGUAACGGCUUACCAAGGCAACGAUGAAUAGCCGACCGGGGAGGUGGGUCGGCCACCCUGGAACUGAGACGCGGACCAGGCUCCUACGGGAGGCAGCAGUAUGCAAUCUGCCGCAAUGGGCGAAAACCUUGCGGAACAGCGCCACGUGUGUUAUGAAGGUCUUCGGUUCGUAAAACUCUGUUAUUGGUUGAAAACAUAUUUGUAAGUAGCUGUACACAUCUUGACGGUACCUAAUCAGAAAGCCACGGCUAACUACGUG